GAAAUAAAAUCAUAUAUUUAACACGGUGUAGUCACCCAGAGCUAAAUUAUAGAGACAGCAUUUAUUGGACAACUAAUGGAUAUUUGUCAAUCCAACCCUCUUCCCUUUGUUAUACAGGCAGAUCAUCUUUUUCCAGCACUGAUUCAAGAAAUAAUCCCAACGCUACUUCUCCCAGAUAUCUAAUUGAAGGGCAACCUUUCAAAUAAAGUGCUUCAAGUCCUCCACAGCUGCAGAAGCACCACCACAGGGACACAGCCAGAGUCCCCUGGGUUUAGGUUCUCCUGAGCUCUGAGAUAAAAGGAACGGCCAGAUCACACUGCCGCCCAGCACUGAGAUGAAUGUGUACUGCAGUUUAUUUUGUAAGACCCCCAAAUUCCCAUAGACAAUGAAGUCAAGAGGCUGUGAGGCUGAUCGUAAUAAAGCUUUCAGGAUGAUUUACGCAAGUCCCACAUUCUUGUUGGAGGUAUCUAGAGACCCUCACUGACCUAGCAAAUCAUGGUAUGUAUAAUUAACACACAACGGGGGAAAAUUAUCAUCUUCUCGCUGUACUAUAAUCAAAUUUAGUUGCUGGUGAAAACAAGUGUGUCAUCUUUAUUGGCUCACAUUUAUAAAAUAAAGAUUUUUAUCAAUGUUAGGGUGAAACCUCAAAAUAUGAGCAAAAUGGCUCACAAAUACCCAAGUCAUCGAACUAUAAAUGUCUUGUAUUAAGUUUCACAUUAAUUUAUCAUUAACAAAAAGCAAACCAUUUCUGAAGAGGUUAUAAACAGCUAGAGUACAAACAGGCUGAGGGCAGGGAUUUUGCUUAUGGUUCUAUCGCUUACAGCAGCAUUUUCAACCAUAACACACAUAGAAAAUAGUACUUACCCCAACUAUCGUGCUAGGCAUUAAUAUUUUCUAUUUAA